UAAAUGGCCGUCGUAACGUGACUGUGCUAAGGUAGCAUAAUCACUUGUUUGAUAAUUUCAAACUAGAAUGAAAGGAAAAAAUAGUAUUAAAUAUUAACUAAUGAAAACUUUUAAAUCUUAGAUAAAGUGCAAAUACUUUAAAUUAUCACAUAAACGAGAAGACCCUAGAAAUUUAAUUCAUUUUGUUGGGAAAACUCAAUAACAUAAAUACUUGAGAACCAAGUUUAAUUAAAAUAAAAAAUUACUCUAGGGAUAACAGCAUAAUAGCUAUGAAGAGACCUAAUCCAUGUAGCUGAUUGUGACCUCGAUGUUGAAUCAUUCGCCAAUAAAAUUCGCAGAAGAAUUUUAUUUUCGUCUGUUCGACGAUAAUUGAUUACGUGAUUUGAGUUUAGACCGUUGCGAGAUAGAAUGGAUUCUCUUU
rnacentral:rRNA from 1 species